UCCCUGAAGGACUAGUGGUUAGGCCACAGCACUCUCACCGCUGUAGCCCAGGUUCCAUUCCUGGCCAGGGAA
rnacentral:tRNA from 1 species